UAGUACACUUAGAUUUAAUUUAUAAAUACUAGAAUAUUAGAAGUUAUGCUCUUUAAAUUUAAAAAAUUUGGCGGUAAUUUAGUCUAAUUAGAGGAACCUGUUUUAUAAACGACACAACACGAAUUAUUUUACUUAUUUUGGUAAACAGCUUGUAUACCGUCAUUAUAAGAUUAUUUAGGAGAGAAUAUUAUUGGAAUCAAUGUUAUUGAGUAUAUUAGAUCAAGGUGCAGCUUAUAGGUAAGUAAAUAUGGGUUACAAUAAAAUUUAUUUAAUACGAAUUAAAUAUUUAAAUAUAUUUAUGAAGGAGGAUUUAAUUGUAAAAGAGGGAGUAGUGAGAUUUUUUGGUAUAGGCUCUAAGUUAU
rnacentral:rRNA from 1 species